AGGGGGUUGGAGGGUGGGGGUGGGGGCGGGGCUUGGAGUGGGCGGGGCCUGGAGUGGGCGGGGCCUGGAGUGGGCGGGGCCUGGGGGCCGGGCCGGGGCGCCCGAUGGGGGCGUGCACACUCCGCGGGGACACGCGCUCUGGGCCGCGGCAACUCGCUCCAAGUUCCCUCCCUCGCGCUCCGCGAAGCCCGCCCGAGCCCGCCCGAGCCCUCCCCUCCCCUCCUCUCCCCUCGGCGCGGACCUAGCCCUCCGCGGCCUCGCGCCCCGCGCCCCCGGCCCGCCGGCUCGGCUCCCCCCGGCCCCGCGGGGCGGCGCGAGGACUCGGCGGCGGCCCCCUCCCCGCGGGCCCGGGAGCCGACGCCGGCUGGGGCCGCACCUCCGGGACCGGGCAGCGCGGCCGAGAAAUCGCCGGCUGGACAUCCAGAGCACCUAGCCUGUUUUUUUCUGCAUCUUGAAUUGAGCAUUAACAGGACUCUUGAAGCCCUUAUUGUAGAUGGGAUGGAGGGCAGACAUGGAGAGCCACACUCCUUGGGGACGGUGGAUAAGAUCGUGGCUUUGGCAUCCCAAAGAUCUGUGUGCUCUGUCACAUGAUGUAUAUGAUGUUGGGAAGACUGUUGGCUCUGUGCCCCGGUGUCUUCAUCUGUCAAGGAUUAUGGUGAGCAUUAAAUGAAUGAGCUGCAACAUAGAAGUAGCUUUUGUUGCACUUUCUGAAGAGUAGAGAUAAUAACAUUUACUUCUCAUGGUUUUAAACAGGCUGCUCCUAUACAGUUGAUCCUUGUACCACAUGGGUCUGAACUGUGUGGAUUCACUUACAUGAAGGUUUUUUUUUUUUUCAAUAAAUAAAUGUACAGUAUUGUAAAUGUAUUUUCUAUUUCAUAUGGUUUUAACAUGUUCUUUCCUCUGGCUUACAUUGUUGUAAGAAACAGUAUAGAACACAUGUUACAUACGAAAUACAGUGAAUCGAUUAUGUUAUCAUUAAGGCUUCUGUCUGCAGUAAGCUAUCAAGUAGGUAAGUUUUGGGGGAGACAGAAGUUAUAUGUGGAUUUUUGACUGCAUGGGGGUUAGUGCCCCUAACAUGGGGGGUGGUGCCAGGCACAUAGCACUCAACAAAUGGUAGCCCUUAGGGGUAAUGGUAACCUAACAAUAGCAUUAUCAGCAAAGGUAUUUAGAAUGGGACAGAUAUGGUGACCCUGAGUGCUGGCUAAUAUCUAAUAGUAGUAUGUGAGAAUGGCUACAGAUUCAUGGGGCACCUGAGAGGCUCAGUCAGAUAAGCCUCUGCCUUUAGCUCAAGUCAGAAUCCUGGGGUCCUGGGAUUGAACCCCUGCCUUAAGCUCCUUGCUCAGCAGGGAGUCUGCUUCUCCUUCUGCCUUUGCCCCUCCCCCUGCCCGUGCUUGCUUACUCUCUCUCUCUCUCUCUCUCAAGUAAAUAAAUAAAUAAAUAAAAUCUUAAAAAAAAAAAAGGAAAAAAAGAAUGGCCACAAAUUCAGUUUGUCAAUCAGACAGUAUGUAUUUAUUGAAACAUUUUUGUACAAUCUCAUCAUUAGCUUUAUUAAAUUACUGUCUACUUAGGACACAAAAGUUAACUCAAAAAGGCUUUGUUUAUGAUUAACUAUUGAGUGAAUAAUUAAGAGUUAUAUACUACUAUAAUCUUUUUGUUCCUAUUAGCGUCCACUUUUUAAAUAGGAAGGACAGCCUUCUGUUGGAUUUUUAUGAAAUUGUAAAACUACUCUAUGAAUAAAGAUAGUAGAUCUUGAAUGACUUUAGAAUACCUUACCCUACCUAUAUAUGUCUUUAAUCACAAUAUAUAUGUGUAAAUAUUUUGGUCUUUCUCAUUAGUGCCUUUCUUUCAUCAUUCUUAAAUAUUAAGUAUAUUGAAGUAUUAUCACCCAUGUUAUAUGGUUGUUCCAAAACUAUAAAAGGGGAAACAAACUGAACUCUAAUAACAUUUUAUUCUACUAUACCUAAAUUAAGUGGAGCUUCUAGGAAAAACUUUGACAUUCUUUUUUUUCCUAUACUUUGAACCAAAACACAUUUGAGUUUUUGGUAUAUUAGAGAAUUUCUUACUAUUUUUUUAAAGAUGUUAUCAAUUUAUUUGAGAGAGAUAUUGUUGGGAGGCAGGGGCAGAGGGAGAGAAAGAAGCAGACUCCCUGCUGAGCCGGGAGCCUGAUGUGGGACUCAAUUCCAGGACCCUGAGAUCAUGACCUGAGCCAAAGGCAGAUGCUUAACCCACUGAGCCAUCCAGGUGCCAGUCUCACUAUUUUUUUUUUUUUUACACAUUUACUUUUGGUACACUUGAAACAAAUGACAUUCCAUGGCUUAAGAAUGUCUCUUAAAGAAAAAAGUAUGUAAUUCAAGUGACCGUGAGUCACCUGAGGAUGCAAGUGUGUUUGAGCCCUUCUGGUGGUAGAAGCCUGUCUUGUGAUCCUUGCACCUGGGCCUGGCAGAGAGCAUGCUCAGUGAAGAUGGGAACUGAAUUAAAGACACAGCAAGGCAAUUGGAGAACUGAAAAUGCCCUUGUUAGAAUACUGAGAAUAUGAUGAUUUUUCAAAUUUGCCUUUAGUAUUACUGUAAUUGAGUUUAAACUAUAAAUAAAGACCUUUCAGUGGGAGUGACAUUUAGUGUGUAUUUGAAAGCAGUGAAACUAGUUCUUUGUUCUGUCCUUAGUUUAGGAUGCUUAUGGCCUGGGGAUCUGUCUCCUCCACCCCUCCGCCCUUCUGCCCUCCCUUUGAAGCUUCUACUUCUUUCUUUUCUUGCCCCCUCUCCCUCUAUUUCUGCCCUCCUGCCCCUCCCUACCCACCUCCUGCUUGGUUUUAAGAAGGACCUUGAGCCAGGCCCUAUCUGGCCCUGCUCUCCUAUUCCUGGGCAGUGGCCUCAGGUGUCUUCUUCAGAGGUCCUGAGGAGAAUUCAAACUAACAGCAGCAACCACCCUUGAGUAAUAAUGCAGCUACCCCUGCCCUUCUGCUGACUUGGGCACCCCCCUCCCCCCCCCCCCCGCUCCCAGCCUCUCUGUUAGAAUCCCUGGUAGUACAUCUCUGACAUGGAGUUAAAUCCAACUCUUUGAGUAGUUUUGUCAAUGUCCUUUGCUACAUCUUUCCUCAGCUAACUUGGGAAGAAAACAUUCUGCUUCUAUUAGCAUCACUGUUUUCUGGCAGAGAACAGUAUUCUGGUUGCAUUUCACAGGAAACACCCAGGUUCAGCCAGAAGUGCACAGUUCUGUUUGAAAUCAGACUUACUCUCUUAUCUGCCAGCAUUUCUUCCUCAUGAUAGAAAUCUAGCACUGUAACUCCUGAACUGGCUUAUUGGCAUUUUUUCCAGCAACAGAUAUUCACCUCUUUUCAUCACAAUCUUUAAAGAUUUUUGCAUUUGAAUGAACUGACACACAAUCAUUAUGGUUUUUUUUUAUUAUUAUUUGGAUAUUUGCACAACUUAAAAAUUUGACUUUGUUACAUGGUUGUACAUAGAUUAUGGUUUGCCCUGAGAUUAAACAAGUAAAAAAAGUGCAGCUACUUAAGAUUUGUAGCACCACAAGUGAAAGUUUCUGGAAACCAGGGAGUAGUUUAAUUCCUGUUCUGAAUGGGAUGUUAGUGAGCUCCUCCCCUCCAUACCCCUGGCCCCUGCCAGAGUAACCUUUGGUUUAAAACUCUCGGAGACUUCUUUGCUUUUGGUUUAGAUCUGACCCAAGUACCAUCAAAGAACAAACCAUUUAAGCAGGAAUUUAUUUGCAUAUGUAAUAUACAUACAGUUCUUCAAAUCAUAGGAACAUUUGAGUUUUUCUUUUCCAAGUACUGUUUUUAUUUUUCUUUUUUGAAUUUCUGUAAUAUAAACUCAGAUUUUCCUAGACUGUGUUUUUCUGAUUAAUAAUCAAUCCUCCUUCCUUCCUUUUCUCCUUCCUUCUUUCCUUGCUCCCUCCCUUCCAUCCUUGUGUUAUUGUUUAGUUGAAGAAAGAAGAAACAUCUGAUGGUAUGUUUUAGUUUUUCAGAGUUUUUAGACACCAGUAAGUUAUUGAUAGAUCUUUCAUAUAUGAAUGACAUUAAGUACGUGUUAAUUUUUUGUGCCAACUUGGUUUUCUAAUCCUAGGCUCUAAUGAACCUGCAAAACCUGUUAUUUACAGUACAUAAAUUCUAAUUGUUACUACAUACGAUUCUUUAAAAAAAAAAUAUACUGCUUUUCCAGGGUUUCAUACCCAAAUGUGAAAUUUGGCUUUCCUUCUCUGAAAGGAAAUUUGCCUGUUGUACUGAUUUAAAAUGUUCCCAAUUUAAGUUGCAAACUCAAAUCAUGUAGAUGAAGCUCUGUUUUAACAAGGAGUACUGUGUAUAAUCUUUAAAGUUUUUCUAGUAGCAUCCCUUUUCAAUGAGUACCAUUCUUGGCUACGUUUUGUGACUUGUUUCCUGAGUUAAUUAGAACCAGAGAGCAAAUAUUUCUUCUCUCUCUCAUUGUUGUUCAGGGUCACCUUUCCACCCACCCUGGUUAGCAUUCCACUUCAGAGGUUGCUCUUCUCUCUUUGUCUGCUGGACAGAUAGGCAUCACCAAAACAUGACACAAACAGGGACUGUCUGGGUUUGAAAUGCAGAAUGUAGGGGCCAAAUGAAUUCUAGAUUGUUCUGACCUAGGAACUCACCCAAUUUUUGUUUCUUAAUCUUCAAAAGGUAUGACUAGGAGGAUCAUUGCACCUCUUGAUAAGCCAGUUGGCAGGGCACCUGGCUGGCUUAGUGGUUGAGCGUCUGCCUUAGUCUCAGGGCGUGAUCCCGGGGUCCUGGGAUCUAGUCGCACAUUGGGCUCCCUGCAGGGAGCCUGUUCUCCCUCUGCCAGUGUGUCUGCCUCUCUCUGUGUCUCCCUCUGGUUGUGUCUCUGCCUGUCUCUCUGUGUCUCUCAUGAAUAAAUAAAAUCUUAGAAAAGAAAAGAAAAAGCCAACUGGCCUUUUCUCCUUGAGUGAUUGCUAAUACACAUAUAAAUGUGUGUUAGCCUCUUUUUGCUUACAUUUUAAGUCUCAGAUAUUACUCAUUCUGGAUCAGGUGGCAAAGCUGCCAUCAUGCCUCCCCAUCAAUCUUGGGAACAUUAUUGAUGACUGUUCUCUGUACUAGAAGCUGUAUUGUAUUUGCAUGUGAAAUCAUGGCAUGCUUAAGAUAGAGAUGCAAAUUUCACUUCAGCUUCUUGAUU
rnacentral:lncRNA from 1 species